rnacentral:rRNA from 1 species
GACGAACGCUGGCGGCGUGCCUAAUACAUGCAAGUAGAACGCUGAAGGAGGAGCUUGCUCUUCUGGAUGAGUUGCGAACGGGUGAGUAACGCGUAGGUAACCUGCCUGGUAGCGGGGGAUAACUAUUGGAAACGAUAGCUAAUACCGCAUAACAGUAGAUGUUGCAUGACAUUUGCUUAAAAGGUGCAAUUGCACCACUACCAGAUGGACCUGCGUUGUAUUAGCUAGUUGGUGGGGUAACGGCUCACCAAGGCGACGAUACAUAGCCGACCUGAGAGGGUGAUCGGCCACACUGGGACGGAGACACGGCCCAGACUCCUACGGGAGGCAGCAGUAGGGAAUCUUCGGCAAUGGACGGAAGUCUGACCGAGCAACGCCGCGUGAGUGAAGAAGGGUUUCGGAUCGUAAAGAUCUGUUGUAAGAGAAGAACGAGUGUGAGAGUGGAAAGUUCACACUGUGACGGUAUCUGACCAGAAAGGGACGGCUAACUACGUG